rnacentral:rRNA from 1 species
UACCUACUCUUGACAUCCAGAGAACUUAGCAGAGAUGCUUUGGUGCCUUCGGGAACUCUGAGACAGGUGCUGCAUGGCUGUCGUCAGCUCGUGUUGUGAAAUGUUGGGUUAAGUCCCGCAACGAGCGCAACCCUUAUCCUUUGUUGCCAGCGGUUAGGCCGGGAACUCAAAGGAGACUGCCAGUGAUAAACUGGAGGAAGGUGGGGAUGACGUCAAGUCAUCAUGGCCCUUACGAGUAGGGCUACACACGUGCUACAAUGGCGCAUACAAAGAGAAGCGACCUCGCGAGAGCAAGCGGACCUCAUAAAGUGCGUCGUAGUCCGGAUUGGAGUCUGCAACUCGACUCCAUGAAGUCGGAAUCGCUAGUAAUCGUAGAUCAGAAUGCUACGGUGAAUACGUUCCCGGGCCUUGUACACACCGCCCGUCACACCAUGGGAGUGGGUUGCAAAAGAAGUAGGGCAGCUUUAACCUUCGGGAGGGCGCUUACCACUUUGUGAUUCAUGACUGGGGU